CUGACAGGGUUGGAAUGUGCCCUGGACUCCCCUUUCUUGUGCAAAGAGUCACUAGGGUGCCUCCAACCCUGGCUACUCUGUCACCCAAUCAAUCAAUGCUACAGUCAAAGUCCAUUAUUUACCACGGUGGGGCAAGGACAGUUUGCAGUAGCUCUAGCCCUAAGACAGACACAUGUGCAGGACACAGCCACGGUAAAGGCUGCAGAUAAAUUCAACUGUGUAAGGAAGAUCCAGUUACAUGUGGGCAACGGCAGCCAAUGGGCUGGGGCCUGAGAAUCAGCAUUCAUCCGUUUCUUGACUGUGUGACAGCCUGAAUCCAACCUCAGUGUGCCUCUGUCAGAUUAACAGGAUAGCUGGAAGUCCCGCUGGCCAUCGGACACUCGUUCAUUAGGUGCUAACUAUGUGUCAGGCACUGGGUACUGGGAUGCGAUGGUGAACAAGACAGCCACAGACCAGCUCUCCUUGGAAACUGAGCUCAGAGGUGGAAACCAACCUAAAUAAACGAACUUGCCAGCCAGUGGGUAGAUGAGGCUGAACCAAUACAUACUGGGUCUGCAUGUGGAAGAAUGAGGCUUGCAGCCAACGGCCGUCCACAUCUCUGAUGAGGAUCAGCCACUGGCCACAAGAGUAGGCCUCUACCUGCCAUCAUGUUUGUGGACUGAUACCACUUUCACCCCGUGAUUGACACCUCCAUCCCAUCAUUGAUACCUCCACCCCAUGAUUGACACCUCCAUCCUGUGAUUGAAACCUCCAUCCCAUGAUUGAUACAUCCAUCCAUUGAUUGACACCUCCAUCCUGUGAUUGACACCCCCAUCUCGUGACUGAGUAAAAUAGUGUCAUCUGGAUUAAAUGUCCACCAUCAGGACUAUUUGCUUUCAAGUCUAUAAUAAGAAAAUAGGUCUACAUGGUGGUGGUGCACGCCUUCAAUCUCAGCACUCAGGAGCAGAGGCAGGUGAAUCUCUGAGUUCGAAGCUAGAGCAAGUUCCAGGACAGCCAGAGCUGCACAGAGAAACACUGUCUUGGGGAGAAAAAAAAAAGGAUCUAGCAACGUUGUUUUUUGGCUAGAGUCUUGAACAAAGGAAGGUCUGAAUGAGGAGAGUUUAGUCUACUGUGUGCACCGAGUCAUCAGGGAGACAAAAAUAAAUCCACUGGAGAGGAAGAAAAGCAAUUAAAACAGUCCUUCUCAACAAAGAAGAGGAAAGUAUGUAUUUACUAUGAAACUUUGGGGUUACAAGAUGGCUCGGCAGGUAAAACUGCUUGCUUCCCACGCUUGGUAUGAAUCAAGUCCCUAAAACCAUAGUGGGAGCUGACUCCAUUUAUGCUCUGAAGACUAGGCUGGCCUUGAACUCAGAGAUCUGCCUGCCUCUGUCUCCUGUGCUAGACUAAAGGCAUGUGCCACCACCGCCUGGCCCAUUGCACAGUGCUUAAGGACAUGCUCCAAGGGGUCCUCCUGAAGGACAGACUUUCUUCAAUAACGUCCACACCUUAAUGUCUGUAUCACUUUUCAGGAAUGCCAUCAAAAUUUGAAGGCACCAAUGGGUUGCUUCCACUGCUAGCUACACUGAGGAUCAAGCUUUCAGUGCAGGAGCCUUUGGGGGACACUCACAUCUACCCAAAACAUAAGAGCGGGUAAGAAGAUUGGGCUCAAUAUGUGUCACAGUGGCCCAGUCUUGGCACCCAAUCUCACAAGACUAUUUCCUCAUCUGUAAAAUCAGAUUGGAAACAGCAACUAUUUCUCACAGUUUUCCAAAAAGCUAGAGCCAGUAGUAUGUGUGCAGAGUAGACCAGGAGGCAGAAGACUCAGAAAACAGUUCUGUCUGGUCUAAAAACAGGCUGCUUGCUGAGUUCCUUGCUCUUGGGGGAUGAGUCUUUGCUCUUAUUCGGCCCUCAGCUGAUUAGACAAGGCUACCCCCAGUCCUGGGUUGUAUACUUCUUUACUCUGUCUAGAGGUAUACAUUUUAAUGUCAUCUGACAUCCUGAAUGUUAGACCAAAUAUCUAAGCAUUCUACUCAGCCAAGUUGACAUAUAAAAUUAAUCAUCACAGCUGGUCCCAGGGACAGGCUUGGAGAUCUAACUAGUCAGGAAAUAAUAGAAGUCCUCUACGUUCUGAAAGCUUCUCUCCCACAAUGAGGGACUCUGUGGGCUGUGUUUGUACCCCACGGCAAGAGUACUGGUACACUGGGAGCUCAGCAGCCCCUGGAUGGAUCCUUGUUCUUUCUUCUGUCUGUCUAAGCUGACACUCUCCCUCCUAGUCACCCCCAGGUGCACCCCAGCCAGUCCUCAGGUGAGGGGGUCGGGAGAGGCCCUGGAGUUGCCUGAUACUAGAUACUUCCUUCCUGCCGGAUUAAGGAAGUAUUGUCAGCAUCGAGUCUGUGUUUACCAAAUUAACAAAUGGACUUCAAGUCAAACACUAGGCGAUUUGUGAGAUGGAUUUCUCAACAACGUGCCAACUGAGGGGGUCGCUCCCAGGUGCCGGGCUGUUUGCCGCUUCUUGGACUACUGGACUUUGACAUCAUGUCACUUUAAGGUGCUCUUCGUGGAAAGCUGUGACCCUGCCAUUCCUUAGGCAGGGCGGAGAGCCUCCACGCAGGUGUUCCGAGGUCAGCUGGAGUCCGGCUUUGCUUUGGGGCCAGCUGCUUUCUUCUGGUCCCAACAGACACAAAGAUUCUUGGUCAGUGGCUCCAGAAUGGAAAAUAAAGUGUGUUGAAACACUUGCUCCCCACUAGGCAUCUCCAUCAUGGGUAGAGCAGGGCCUCCAGCCAGACACUGGCUCUCUGCUAACUGUGGCAAAGACAGCAGAGACAGCAGGGCCCCAGCGCCUGGACCUGCUGUCCGUAGAUGCGUGUUUGCAUCCUGUCCAUGCCUGGGAAGCCACUGCUUCUUUGCCUUGGUACUUAGAGCGUGUCUCAGGAUCUGUGGCUGCUCCACUACAGGGGCACAUGGUCUUCAUACCUCUCAUGGGAGAGACCCCCAGGGAACACAACGCUUAGCAUGCGUACCUUUAUGCAGUCGAGGGAUGACUGUCUCUUGUAGACCUGUCUUCUGGCCUGCAUUUUGUGGCCCACUGUUUGUUAAAUGCUAUUUACUUUGGAAAGGCAUUAAGAGGAAAGAAAACAGUGCCCCAGCACCUUCCCCUGAGCCCCUCUGCAGUAAUCGUCUGAAAUGUAAAAACUUCACUCGAACCUUUUCCUUUCCUUGGCUCGCUGGACAGCAAAAGAGCUGGUUUAACUGAAUUGCCCAGUUGUUUGAUGACUCAAUCAGUCAGCAAAUAUUUGUUUUGUGAAGCCUCUGAGUAAAGCGCUCAGUGUUUGAUUAAAUUGUUUGAUGAAACAGAACAAAUAGACGUGUCUUUUGGGCCCCUUGUAGACACCGGCUUUGCUCGAGAUGUGCGCCACUAAUUACCCUCCCACACUAAUUACAGAUCUGAGUCAAACCCAGCUCUUUCCCUUGAACCCAAAGCUAACCCUGGAAAUCUGGUAAUGCAAUUACUGAGCUUGUUUCAACAUGUUGGGGAGAGGGCAAGAGGGGAGAGAGAGAAAAAAGAGAGAAUGUGAAUUUGCCCCAUUUAUGAACCCCACAAUGAGUGAGGGUUACAAAAAAAAAGGCUCUAGACCCAGGGAAUAAUACAAGCAGGCCUGUAGAGCUCAGCAUGGUCUGGUGUCUGAGAUCUGGCUUUGAAAAGAAGCCGGAACCCGCUUUCUUAAGUGGCCUUUAAUGUGUUCCUGUGGGCUUAGGGUUUUUAUUAGCUUAGUUUUUAAUUGAUGUCACAACUCAAAGUCAGGAGCAUAUUUUAAGAAGGAGCAAAGAAUGAAAACACUCGGGAAACACACGAAACAACCCAAACUCUAAACCACAACAGUGAAAAACCGUGUCUUGCUUUUACACAUCAUCUCAGUGUUAGGCAUUUGAUCUGUCAGAUAUGCUUGUCAUACCCACAUAGUUUAUAAUCCAAUAUGUUCAGGCAAGAAUUUUGGCACAACCUGCCAAGAGCGAUCCUGAACUUUCCUUGACACUUUAAAGAGCACGUAAUGUGUUGAGGGGUGUGAGGAAUGACUGAUUUGGUGGGAAGCCUUAACCCUUUCAUCUAGGUCUAAGACUCUUUUGCAGAUAGACCUUGCUGGAAAACAGAGUCCAGGGAGGACCUGCCACAGGUGCUGGUGACAACCAGGAGUGAGUGCUGACAGAUACAGUAUCCACCACGGCCCUCAAAUGCUUGUGUGUCACUAGGGCUCUGAACUAGAAUGUCCUUCGAAGAAGACUUCAUGGGAAGAUGGCAUCCUAUUCAUUUUUGCCUUGGGAUUCCACAGGACUGUUUGGAUGACCUAACCCAAGUUUCAAGUUUGCAUGUUGAAAUCACUUGGAAUGCUUAAGAAAAUAAGAGAAAACAACAACAAUAACAACAACAACAACAACAACAACAAAACCGGUCUAUGAAAAUCAAUGUUGAGUCUGACCUACUACUAACCAACUAGAGUCCCUGCAGCAUCCCUCAAUGAUGAGACUGCAUUCCCUGGUGAUUCUCACGGACAGAUGACUACAGUUCUGCUUCUCAUUAUAUAGAUGAGGAAGCUGCGGCCUGUCUUUAGAGGAGACUGACAGUGUCUGGACAUAACUCUAAACCAAACACCUAUGGAUUUGUUUGAAUGCCUACAGAGUGCUCAGCCCUUCCCUGCUUGUAAGAAGAGCUUGCCGUUAAUAAGCAUCCAGCCUCAGAGGUGUGGUCAGGAAGAACUAAUGGCUAAAGUAGUCACCGAUGUGCAGGCAGGAGCUAAGCUUCAUAACAUGAGUGCUAAUCACAGGAGAGAUGCAAACACUGACGGAUAGAGGAAAGCAUUGCUGGAGUUGGCAUUAGAGAAGAGGCCAGUGUCAGCAGGAAGAGAGGCACACUCAAAGGCAAAAGGUGGGACUAUAUCUUGGAGGCCAGAAUGAGUGGUUCCUUAUUGUGUCCUUUGGUGGCCUGUUCUGGAGGACAUAGGCUUGGAGACAGUGCAUGAGGUCUGAGCAGGGAUUGAAGGCCGCAAGACUGGUUCUGCCUUCUUAGCAGAUGUUUGAAAAUGACUCUGUCCAACAUGGGACAAACGUAAGGUUAAAAUGGAAAGUUAAGAGUGACUAGGUGUGAUGGAGCUCUGUUCUGAUUGGUUGGUGCACCCAAGUCAUAGCAAUGUUCACAUAUUUAAAAAGUCUUCCCUUCUCCACAUCCUUGGCUAAAUGCUACCCUAGACUUGAGGGCUUCGUUUUAAGACAUGGAUUUUGGGGAGUUUUGAGGAGAAGGAAGCAGACAUGAUUGCUAGUGAGGUGGUGUCUUAGUCAGGGUUUCAUUUCUGUGAGGAGACACCAUGACCCAGGCAACUCUUAUA